GCAAGUCGAACGAUGAACCACCUUCGGGUGGGGAUUAGUGGCGAACGGGUGAGUAACACGUGGGCAAUCUGCCCUGCACUCUGGGACAAGCCCUGGAAACGGGGUCUAAUACCGGAUACUGACCUGCCAAGGCAUCUUGGCGGGUCGAAAGCUCCGGCGGUGCAGGAUGAGCCCGCGGCCUAUCAGCUUGUUGGUGAGGUAAUGGCUCACCAAGGCGACGACGGGUAGCCGGCCUGAGAGGGCGACCGGCCACACUGGGACUGAGACACGGCCCAGACUCCUACGGGAGGCAGCAGUGGGGAAUAUUGCACAAUGGGCGAAAGCCUGAUGCAGCGACGCCGCGUGAGGGAUGACGGCCUUCGGGUUGUAAACCUCUUUCAGCAGGGAAGAAGCGAAAGUGACGGUACCUGCAGAAGAAGCGCCGGCUAACUACGUGCCAGCAGCCGCGGUAAUACGUAGGGCGCAAGCGUUGUCCGGAAUUAUUGGGCGUAAAGAGCUCGUAGGCGGCUUGUCGCGUCGGUUGUGAAAGCCCGGGGCUUAACCCCGGGUCUGCAGUCGAUACGGGCAGGCUAGAGUUCGGUAGGGGAGAUCGGAAUUCCUGGUGUAGCGGUGAAAUGCGCAGAUAUCAGGAGGAACACCGGUGGCGAAGGCGGAUCUCUGGGCCGAUACUGACGCUGAGGAGCGAAAGCGUGGGGAGCGAACAGGAUUAGAUACCCUUGGUAGUCCACGCCCGUAAACGGUGGGCACUAGGUGUGGGCAACAUUCCACGUUGUCCCGUGCCGCAGCUAACGCAUUUAGUGGCCCGCCUUGGGAGUACGGCCGCCAGGCU
rnacentral:rRNA from 1 species